AUGUCAUAGUGAGGACAUCUUCUGAGCAACUCUUUAAAUCUUUCUCAAGUCUCAUACAAGCUCUUAUCUUCAAGUUAGUGAAAAGAGGUAAUCUCGUUCCGCAAUUU
rfam:Citrus clementina cultivar Clemenules unplaced genomic scaffold scaffold_3, whole genome shotgun sequence.